rnacentral:lncRNA from 1 species
GGAAGAGUUCUUUGCUGACCAAAUAUUAAAUCCAUCGAAGUUUCAAUGAAAAACAUUAAACUCAACCAGAUCUGAUUAUGUUGUGUUACAGUUUGGUGGUGCGCCGUUCAAUGGAAUUGGCUUCGUUGUUGGUUGAUCCCGGCAGUCGCCGAAAUGGUGGCGGUGUUGGGAUUCGCCCGCCGGUGGCAAACUCCGGCGAGGCCCGACAUAAAGGGGGGAAAAGAGAGGGAGAGUGACGGGAAAAGGGAACAGCGAGCUGAAGCGGCGGCUGGAGAAGGACUCGCCGGCGGUGAUGGUGGCUUUUAGGGAGUGAGGAAAUGAGAGAAGAAAGAAGUGAGAGAGGAGAGGGGUGUGGCGGAGGCUGCCGUAUGGUGGUAGUGCGGUGGAGUUGUUGGUUGCCGGCCGUUCGAUAGUCAAUUCCGGAGGCGGCAGUGAUGGAGAGAAGGGAGAGAAAUGGCGUGAGAUUGAGAGAGUUAAGAGAGACAGAGAGAUCUGAUGGGUGCUCACCGAUUAGAUUAUAUACUUUUUUUUUCUUUAUUUCCACAUACAUAUAUAAAGUUUGAUACGAGUUCAGUCUGUGCUCGCGCAUCCGGAGGACUCCAUGUAGGUUUGUCCCUUAUUGUUGAUGGUGCUGGAACAUAGGAUAUAUGCUUCUUUGUAGUUGAUGAUUUUGUUGGAACAAAUGUUGUUGUUUUCUUUGUUGUUGAUGUUUUUUAUUUGUUAUUUGUAGUUUAUGCUAUUUUUAACGUUGCAACAGAUGGAGCAACUGAUGGAACAAAUCAAACCACCAGCAAGGCUGUUAUGUAUUCC